GAUGAACGCUGGCGGCGUGCCUAAUACAUGCAAGUCGAGCGAACGGACGAGAAGCUUGCUUCUCUGAUGUUAGCGGCGGACGGGUGAGUAACACGUGGAUAACCUACCUAUAAGACUGGGAUAACUUCGGGAAACCGGAGCUAAUACCGGAUGAUAUUUUGAACCGCAUGGUUCAAAAGUGAAAGACGGUCUUGCUGUCACUUAUAGAUGGAUCCGCGCUGCAUUAGCUAGUUGGUAAGGUAACGGCUUACCAAGGCAACGAUGCAUAGCCGACCUGAGAGGGUGAUCGGCCACACUGGAACUGGGACACGGUCCAGACUCCUACGGGAGGCAGCAGUAGGGAAUCUUCCGCAAUGGGCGAAAGCCUGACGGAGCAACGCCGAGUGAGUGAUGAAGGUCUUCGGAUCGUAAAACUCUGUUAUUAGGGAAGAACAUAUGUGUAAGUAACUGUGCACAUCUUGACGGUACCUAAUCAGAAAGCCACGGCUAACUACGUG
rnacentral:rRNA from 1 species